UGACGAGAGCGAGCACAUACGUGCCAAAUUGCGUUUUGUGGAAUGCAAAAGGGUGGUUGUAGAAAAAGUAGUGUGGAUGUGUAUGACAAGUGACGAAAGAGUAGUUGUUAAUAUUGAAGCCACAAGGAAUGCUGUUGACAAAUUCAUUGCUGGAGGACCCUUUACUGGUUGAAGGGACGACAGCAUCUCCGCCUAUCAACACCUGUUUCGCUAUUUUCAUUUUAUUGUUUAAAGAAUCUUCAAUGUAAGACUCAGCUACCACUGACGACUUCCAUCCUCCAUGGCGUUUUAUAUUUAUCAAGUCUGCACCUUCAUUAGCCAAAAGGGUGGCGGACGAUCGACGAAGACAGUGUCCGGUGUAGGUGCACGUAAAUGUUGCUACUUUUAUGGUAACCUGGCCCAGAAUAUUUUUGCCAAGAACUUGGGACGUACAUUUCCCAUUUUUAUAAAAAACGAAGAGUCGACGGUGUUUCGUAUGUGACGGCCUCAGAGACAGAGAAGCAGUAUUUGAUGGACUGCACUUCAGAGCCGAGGAAAGUUCUGUCGAAAUAACUUUCAACCAAUGUUUAAACCUUAGAUCCAGACCUGUAACACCAACAUACGGAGUCUCGCAGUGGUUCAAUUUAAGGCGCCUAAUAUUCUUAAUUUUUGUAAAUGAUAUUCCUAGUGUAAUAAAUUGUAAUAAAUUAUUGUUUGCUGACAACCUCAAAUUCUAU